GGCUCCCUGCCUUCACCAGAAGCUGGUUGUGCGGCUCGAUCUGGUACUUGUAGACUCCAGAACUGUGAGAAAUAAAUCUCUGUUGUUUGUUAAAAAUAAAGAAAGAAAGAAAAUAAAGAAAUAAGAAAACAGAACUUGGCAGGUUGAAUUGGGUAUGAGGGUGUUUUUGGGAAUGGGGUACAGAAACUUAAGCCACUUCACAAUGGUGUCAGGAACCCGAGGUCAUCCCUAUAAAAUAUGAUUGACGCUUUCAUGUAGAGGAUGAACUGGAACUCGCAGAUUUUACCCUUGUGUCUUCCAAAAUACUGCACAACAGAGUUUCUUGCCAGG